rnacentral:rRNA from 1 species
CAUGUGGUUUAAUUCGAAGCAACGCGAAGAACCUUACCAGGCCUUGACAUGCAGAGAACUUUCCAGAGAUGGAUUGGUGCCUUCGGGAACUCUGACACAGGUGCUGCAUGGCUGUCGUCGGCUCGUGUCGUGAGAUGUUGGGUUAAGUCCCGUAACGAGCGCAACCCUUGUCCUUAGUUACCAGCACGUUAUGGUGGGCACUCUAAGGAGACUGCCGGUGACAAACCGGAGGAAGGUGGGGAUGACGUCAAGUCAUCAUGGCCCUUACGGCCUGGGCUACACACGUGCUACAAUGGUCGGUACAAAGGGUUGCCAAGCCGCGAGGUGGAGCUAAUCCCAUAAAACCGAUCGUAGUCCGGAUCGCAGUCUGCAACUCGACUGCGUGAAGUCGGAAUCGCUAGUAAUCGUGAAUCAGAAUGUCACGGUGAAUACGUUCCCGGGCCUU